GUUUCUAUAGUGUAGUAGUCAUCACGUUUGCCUCACACACAAAAGGUCCCUGGAUCAAGACCAGGCAGAAACA